GACGAACGCUGGCGGCGUGCUUAACACAUGCAAGUCGAACGGACAGGCCCUGCUUUUGUGGGGUUCUCGAGUGGCGAACGGGGGAGUAACACGUGAGUAACCUGCCCUUGACUUUGGGAUAACUUCAGGAAACAGGGGCUAAUACAGCAUAGGAGCUCCUGCUGCGUGGGGGGGGUUGGAAAGUUUCGGCGGUUGUGGAUGGACUCGCGGCUUAUCAGCUGGAUGGUCGGGUAGUGGCUUACCAGGGCUUUGACGGGUAGCCGGCCUGAGAGGGUGACCGGGCACCAUGCGCCUGCGAGACGGCCCAGACUGCUACCGGAGGCAGUAGGCGGGAACAUGGCAGAGUGGGCGGAAGCCUGAUGCAGAAACGCUGCGAGCGGGAUGCCGGGCUACGGGGUGUAAACCGCUUUCGCCGGUGACGUAGCGUGAGUGACGGUAACGGGUCAAGAAGCACCGGCUAACUACGUG
rnacentral:rRNA from 1 species